AUUGAACGCUGGCGGCAGGCCUAACACAUGCAAGUCGAGCGGAGCGGCGGACGGGUGAGUAAUGCCUAGGUAUCUGCCUGGCCGUGGGGGAUAACGUCCGGAACCGGGCGCUAAUACAGCAUACUAUCAGCUGAGCCUAGGUCGGAUUAGCUAGUUGGUGGGGUAAAGGCCUACCACGGCGACGACCCGUAACUUGUCUGAGAGGAUGAUCAGUCACACUGGAACGGGGACACGGUCCAGACUCCGACGGUAGGCAGCAGUGGGGAAUAUUGGACAAUGGGCGAAAGCCUGAUCCAGCCAUGCCGCGUGUGUGAAGAAGGUCUUCGGAUUGUAAAGCACUUUAAGUUGGGAGGCGUUACCAACAGAAUAAGCACCGGCUAACUUCGUGCCAGCAGCCGCGGUAAUAC
rnacentral:rRNA from 1 species